rfam:Bacillus galactosidilyticus strain PL133 scaffold000091, whole genome shotgun sequence.
UGAAGCAGAACAUCGGCUAAGUUUGCGCCCUCGUGGCGCAACGCCGAUGGACUCGCUCCUACGAG